GACGAACGCUGGCGGCGUGCUUAACACAUGCAAGUCGAACGGAAAGGCCCUGCUUUUGUGGGGUGCUCGAGUGGCGAACGGGUGAGUAACACGUGAGUAACCUGCCCUUGACUUUGGGAUAACUUCAGGAAACUGGGGCUAAUACCGGAUAGGAGCUCCUGCUGCAUGGUGGGGGUUGGAAAGUUUCGGCGGUUGGGGAUGGACUCGCGGCUCAUCAGCUUGUUGGUGGGGUAGUGGCUUACCAAGGCUUUGACGGGUAGCCGGCCUGAGAGGGUGACCGGCCACAUGGGGACUGAGAUACGGACCAGACUCCUACGGGAGGCAGCAGUGGGGAAUAUUGCACAAUGGGCGGAAGCCUGAUGCAGCAACGCCGCGUGCGGGAUGACGGCCUUCGGGUUGUAAACCGCUUUCGCCUGUGACGAAGCGUGAGUGACGGUAAUGGGUAAAGAAGCACCGGCUAACUACGUG
rnacentral:rRNA from 1 species